rnacentral:rRNA from 1 species
UCUUCUGGUGUCCUAGGUGUAGAGGCAAAACACACCAAUCCAUUCCGAAUUUGGUGGUGAAACUCUACUGCGGUGACGAUACUGUAGGGGAAGUCCUGCGGAAAAAUAACUCGACGCCAGGAU